rnacentral:rRNA from 1 species
GUAUAAGAGACAGCAGCCGCCGCGGUAAUACGGAGGGUGCAAGCGUUAAUCGGAAUUACUGGGCGUAAAGCGCACGCAGGCGGUUUGUUAAGUCAGAUGUGAAAUCCCCGAGCUUAACUUGGGAACUGCAUUUGAAACUGGCAAGCUAGAGUCUUGUAGAGGGGGGUAGAAUUCCAGGUGUAGCGGUGAAAUGCGUAGAGAUCUGGAGGAAUACCGGUGGCGAAGGCGGCCCCCUGGACAAAGACUGACGCUCAGGUGCGAAAGCGUGGGGAGCAAACAGGAUUAGAUACCCGUGUAGUCCCUGUCUCUUAUAC